GCUGCAAGGGAUUUGGGGAAGGACAACGUUUUCUCUGAUUCUUGUUGCCAGUCGCUAGCGACUUACCCAUUGCAUUCGGCAUCGCAACCUUCUUUAAAUUCCUCGUGACGCAAAACCUGUUUGGCCAAGACAGACAGAGACAGCAUUAGUUGUCGGGAAAAAUUACAGAGUCAUUACCGCUAUCUGGCAUCUGGGCUUUUAAUUAAUCACGAUAACGUUGGUUGGUCCGAAGAUCCUAUUCGCAAAUCAUAAGAAAAAUACCCACUUUCAUUCCCAGGAUGCGGCGGAAGAAGAAGGCGUUCUUGGCCCGAUCUCCGAUCUUGAACACAUAGUGCAGGGCACGUCCCGGUACUGCUGCCAUUAUUGCCCUUUAAGUUGAGUUGAGUUUCGAAAUUUAGAAAUGAAAAUGAAAAUUUUUUGGCACCGGUUUGUUGUUCUGCGGCAGGCAGAAGAUUUCGAUACAAAAUUUUCGAUUAAAAAAUAUACUGUACGACCUAAGACAUAUACCGAAAUAUACUGAUGAUAUAUUUAA